rnacentral:rRNA from 1 species
UACGUAGGGUGCGAGCGUUGUCCGGAAUUAUUGGGCGUAAAGAGCUCGUAGGCGGCUUGUCGCGUCGGAUGUGAAAGCCCGGGGCUUAACUCUGGGUCUGCAUUCGAUACGGGCAGGCUAGAGUUCGGUAGGGGAGAUCGGAAUUCCUGGUGUAGCGGUGAAAUGCGCAGAUAUCAGGAGGAACACCGGUGGCGAAGGCGGAUCUCUGGGCCGAUACUGACGCUGAGGAGCGAAAGCGUGGGGAGCAAACAGG